rnacentral:SRP_RNA from 1 species
ACCGGGGACCUCGCGGAAUGAGAAGUCCGAACCAGGUCAGGGCCGGAAGGCAGCAGCCUUAGGGACCCCUCCUCAUGCCACGAGUCCAUCUCCGGUGUU